rnacentral:rRNA from 1 species
UACGGAGGAUGCGAGCGUUAUCCGGAUUUAUUGGGUUUAAAGGGUGCGUAGGCGGAUCGUUAAGUCAGUGGUCAAAUUGAGGGGCUCAACCCCUUCCCGCCAUUGAAACUGGCGAUCUUGAGUGGAAGAGAAGUAUGCGGAAUGCGUGGUGUAGCGGUGAAAUGCAUAGAUAUCACGCAGAACCCCGAUUGCGAAAGCAGCAUGCCGGCUUCCUACUGACGCUGAAGCACGAAAGCGUGGGGAUCGAACAGG